GACGAACGCUGGCGGCGUGCCUAAUACAUGCAAGUAGAACGCUGAAGAGAGGAGCUUGCUCUUCUUGGAUGAGUUGCGAACGGGUGAGUAACGCGUAGGUAACCUGCCUUGUAGCGGGGGAUAACUAUUGGAAACGAUAGCUAAUACCGCAUAACAAUGGAUGACACAUGUCAUUUAUUUGAAAGGGGCAAUUGCUCCACUACAAGAUGGACCUGCGUUGUAUUAGCUAGUAGGUGAGGUAAUGGCUCACCUAGGCGACGAUACAUAGCCGACCUGAGAGGGUGAUCGGCCACACUGGGACUGAGACACGGCCCAGACUCCUACGGGAGGCAGCAGUAGGGAAUCUUCGGCAAUGGGGGCAACCCUGACCGAGCAACGCCGCGUGAGUGAAGAAGGUUUUCGGAUCGUUAAGCUCUGUUGUAAGUCAAGAACGGGUGUGAGAGUGGAAAGUUCACACUGUGACGGUAGCUUACCAGAAAGGGACGGCUAACUACGUG
rnacentral:rRNA from 1 species